GGCCCUGUGGCUCAGUUGAUAGAGCAUGGUGUUUGCAACGCCAGGGUUGUGGGUUCGAUUCCCACAGGGUCCA
rnacentral:tRNA from 1 species